rnacentral:tRNA from 1 species
GUGCCUUUAGCUCAGCCAGGGAGAGCACUGCGCUGAUAACGCAGAGGUCGUCGGUUCGAAUCCGAUAGGGCACG